rnacentral:rRNA from 1 species
UGAAAUUAUUCAACGGCCGCGGUAUCCUAACCGUGCGAAGGUAGCGUAAUCACUUGUUCUUUAAAUGAGGACUAGUAUGAAUGGCACCACGAGGGUUCUACUGUCUCCUUUUUUUAAUCAGUGAAACUAAUCUCCCCGUGAAGAAGCGGGGAUCUUUAUAUAAGACGAGAAGACCCUAUGGAGCUUUAAACAACCAACAUUUGCUACACCAUAACAUUUUCCCUAAAAGAAGUAUAGCAUUAUGAUUAUUAGUUUUCGAUUGGGGUGAUCACGGAGUAAAAUAUAACCUCCAUGCCGAAAGGGUUCUUACCCUGAGCAAAAAGCCACAGCUUUAAGCACUAAAAAAUUAACGCAGUUUGACCCAAUAUUUUGAUCAACGAACCAAGUUAC